ACACGCUUGACGGGGUGCCGGUCAAUCCGGCUGAGAUGGCGCAGGUCAUUCGGCAUGUAGAUCAAUAUCCUGCAUGGCUGAAUGCUCGCAGCGCUGGUCCCGUGGAACCUGAUCCGGUUGAUACCGGCGUAGGGAAUCGAGCGGUGGCUGGCG
rnacentral:ncRNA from 1 species